GACGAACGCUGGCGGCGUGCUUAACACAUGCAAGUCGAACGGAAAGGCCCCCAUCUUGGUGGGGGUGCUCGAGUGGCGAACGGGUGAGUAACACGUGGGUGAUCUGCCCUGUACUUCGGGAUAAGCUUGGGAAACUGGGUCUAAUACCGGAUAGGACCAUGGUUUAGUGUCUCAUGGUGGAAAGAUUAUUGUUUUGGUGCAGGAUGAGCUCGCGGCCUAUCAGCUUGUUGGUGGGGUAAUGGCCUACCAAGGCGUCGACGGGUAGCCGGCCUGAGAGGGUGGACGGCCAAGUGGGGACUGGGAUACGGCCCAGACUACUACGGGAGGCAGCAGUGGGGGAUAUUGCACAAUGGGCGCAAGCCUGAUGCGGCGACGCCGCGUGGGGGAUGACGGCCUUCGGGUUGUAAACUCCUUUCGUUAGGGACGAAGCCGCACUUUUUUUGGGUGUGGUGACGGUACCUUUGUUAAGAAGCACCGGCUAACUACGUG
rnacentral:rRNA from 1 species